UACGUAGGGUGCGAGCGUUAAUCGGAAUUAUUGGGCGUAAAGAGCUCGUAGGCGGUUUGUUGCGUCGGCUGUGAAAUCCCGAGGCUCAACCUCGGGUCUGCAGUCGAUACGAGCAAACUAGAGUGUUGCAGGGGAGACUGGAAUUCCUGGUGUAGCGGUGAAAUGCGCAGAUAUCAGGAGGAACACCGGUGGCGAAGGCGGGUCUCUGGGCCAUUACUGACGCUGAGGAGCGAAAGCGUGGGGAGCGAACAGG
rnacentral:rRNA from 1 species